rnacentral:tRNA from 1 species
GCCUGGGUGGCUCAGUCGGUUGAGCAUCUGACUUCAGCUCAGGUCAUGAUCUCACAGUUCAUGAGUUCAAGCCCCACAUCAGGCU